UACGGAGGAUCCGAGCGUUAUCCGGAUUUAUUGGGUUUAAAGGGUGCGCAGGCGGAAUAUUAAGUCGGCGGUGAAAGUUUGCAGCUUAACUGUAAAAUUGCCGUUGAUACUGGUAUUCUUGAGUGUAUAUGAAGUAGGCGGAAUUUGUAGUGUAGCGGUGAAAUGCAUAGAUAUUACAAGGAACUCCGAUUGCGAAGGCAGCUUACUAAAUUACAACUGACGCUUAGGCACGAAGGCGUGGGUAUCAAACAGG
rnacentral:rRNA from 1 species